AUUGAACGCUGGCGGCAUGCUUUACACAUGCAAGUCGAACGGUAACAGGCCGCAAGGUGCUGACGAGUGGCGAACGGGUGAGUAAUGCAUCGGAACGUGCCCAGUCGUGGGGGAUAACGCAGCGAAAGCUGCGCUAAUACCGCAUACGAUCUGUGGGUGAAAGCGGGGGACCGUAAGGCCUCGCGCGAUUGGAGCGGCCGAUGUCAGAUUAGGUAGUUGGUGGGGUAAAGGCUCACCAAGCCGACGAUCUGUAGCUGGUCUGAGAGGACGACCAGCCACACUGGGACUGGGACACGGCCCAGACUCCUACGGGAGGCAGCAGUGGGGAAUUUUGGACAAUGGGCGCAAGCCUGAUCCAGCAAUGCCGCGUGCAGGAAGAAGGCCUUCGGGUUGUAAACUGCUUUUGUACGGAGCGAAAAGGCUCCCUCUAAUACAGGGGGCUCAUGACGGUACCGUAAGAAUAAGCACCGGCUAACUACGUGCCAGCCGCCGCAGUAACAC
rnacentral:rRNA from 1 species